GGAAGGAAGCCUGAUCAGAGGACUGCUAACCAUCUCUGGAUACAGAGGGUAGCCGGCUCCACGCACUGACCGCAGCUCUGAGGCUGACACUUCCCUGAAGACCCAGAGUGUGGAUCGUCAGUCAGGACUUGCUGCCGCAGCCCUUCUUCAUGAGUGAAGUCAAGUGAGCGUGAGGCCGUUCACCACUCUCCUGGUCUUUUUCAUUUCUCACUUGGUGCUCCCCUCAGUAGCAGCAUAUGUCUCUAAGCCCCUGUGUAUUCAUUCUGCCAAGAAAGUCUCAGUGCUGUAGUGCCACGCGAUUGGCCGAGAUGGCUAAGAUCCCCCAACUCACUCAAUUCCCUCCUUCUCUUAUCACUAGACUGCAGGGGAACCAUUUUCAUUCCAAUGGUGUUAUUUUCCUGCCCCGCGUACCUCUUUCCCCUUCAGCUUUUACCCAGCAUCUUGCCAGUCUUUCUCACUGGAAAUUCCCGUCCUCACUCCCCUCCCCUUUGGGAGGUAGGAAGUCAUUUUUGCUGACUCAUUUGUCCUGUGCCCUUUUGCUGCCCCAAGUUGCUUCCCCCUUUCUCCAGAGCCGCUGGAGUCUUCUCCACAAGGUUUACUCUGCGGCCUUUCUGGAAACCAGCCCCUCUACUCUUCUGGGAUUUGGAGUUUCAGAGCGAGUUCUUGUUGGCUCCGGGCCCACUGUUCACCUGGGCUUCUGGCUUGCUUACGGUCCUACCU
rnacentral:lncRNA from 1 species